GUCACUAAGGCCACCACUAGGACCAGCACAGGCUUGGGGGUGGAUAUUUGUGAUUGCUUGGAAUUCCGGAAACCCAGCCCGCUGAGCAAGCGAGAGCACGCUGGCUGUGCAUCUGGAUUCAGUGUUGGAGUCAAGAUUGCCGUGAGAUCCCUGAGUACCUGGAGCCCACGUUUACCCAGCCAUGUUCCCUUGGCCUCAGUCAGGUCUGGGCCCUCCAGAUGCCCUACUCAAUUGGCCUCUUGCAGACUUCUGCUCUCCCCUGCUGAACUUAGCCUGGGACCUUGCUUUGACCUCAUAGGUUUUUCUGGAACCAUCUGGCUCCCUCAGAAACUCCUGUGGUGUGUACCCACCUCUUCACUGAGCUCCUCAAACUGUGAACCCAAACCAGAGCCACCCCAACCCUCAGGCCCAAGGUUGGGAUGGGUGCUGGUUCUGAGCCUAGGCCCCAGAAUCUUCUCAUGACAACUGCUCCUAAAUUUGUUCCUCGGAAGCCUCUGGAACUUGGAGCAGGACAAGAAAUGCAAUUAGCCUUCCUUGCCCCUCCAGGCAGUGGCACAACUGUGCCUGCUAACUGGAAACAGAAGGUCCUUUCUGUGGCACAGGCCCAGGCUGGCCUAUGUCAGGGCUGCCAUGGGACUCCUUGACCAGAGCUGUGAAGCUGACCUCUGCUUCUAAACUUACUCCUGGUCCUUGGAUUGGGUCCAGCUCCCCAGGAAUAGGGCCACAGCCUCACAGGAAUGCCCAUGGCCCUUUGAAAGUCUCCUGUUGGGGACAAAUGGUUUGCUAGAGCCUCAGUUCCAUAGACCACUCUGGUGGGGGAUGGGAGCCUCAGGCUGGGGGUCUCUCCAGCCUUCCAAAACAUGAGCCUACCCACCUCUCAGGCACCCUGGAGUGAGCCCUUCAAGGAGCCAGGACCUACUGGGACAAUGCCUGCUCACUCCCCACCUGGUCUCCAAAUUUUGCCCUUGGCCCACCCAUUGUUCUCAACACAUCGGCCAGCAUCUUCCAAAAUACAAGCCCCCCAAACAAUCAGUAAUUAAAAUAAAACUUGUAAGAUAGCUUAUGCCAGCCCUGCUCAACCCCCUUGAAUGGUUCCUCAGCCUCCAAGGACACACCAAGUACUCACCAUUGCUGAGGCCUACUCCCGAUCCUGCCCCCCUCUACUCAUCACCUACCCCCCUCCUCAUUCCCCUCUAGCCACAGUGGCUUCCUCACUGUUAGAGCUCCAGGGCCUUUGCACCUGCUGUUUCUGCUGCCAGGAAUACUGCAGUUUUCAUCAGAGCCUCAACCUCCUCCUCUGAAGAAUAAGAGCAGGAGUGGCCUCAGAGGACUAUUGGAAGAUUUGCUGAGGCAAUUCACACAAAGCUCCAAGAGCUGGCUUUGUCCCUGCUGAGCUGUGAUCCAUGACCCAGGGAGGUGGAGAGGAAUGGGUGCUGAAGAAUUGGGUUUCUGGCAUCAUAAGCUAGACAGCCACUGGGCUUACAUGACACUCAGUCAGUGCCCCUGGGAACGGGAUCCACUGAGCCCCUUGGGCCCUCGGACUCCCCUCCCAAUUGCCAUUGGGUCUCUCUAAUUGGACACUCACACCCAAUUAUGCCAGCAUGGCUUCCAGCCACCAAGCCAAGCCAGGUGCCCCUGCCCUACCCCCUACACGGGUAGGAGAGUGGUGGCUAGUCCUUCCCACUUGCUGGUCCUCCUCACCUAUCUGCUAACUGAGGGGCAAGGGCAGUGUCAGGGCUGGUGGCCUGCUGCACCAUGGCCUCCCUGGAGUGGUGAGGGACAGCCAGCCUAGAUUUGAAGGAGCAUCUUACUGUUGGCUGGGGCUUUCUCCUGCCCCCAUAGACCCUCCCACCUGGUUCUAUCCUCUCAGGCCAAGCAGAGCCACAGAUUUAGACUGAGUCUGAAGGAGAGGAUGGAGCUUCUAAUGGGCCUCACGCCACUCCCCAGCAGGCCACUGGCCUGGGGCCUCCUGCAGGGGCCUGUGAGCCAGGCAGCCGACCUGGUGGGGGUAGGCACCAGAACUUCUGGGGAUAAAGUCUUCCCCUCCGCCUGCCUUCCCCCCCUCCUCCCACUCCCUUUGGUCCUCCACAAACACAUGUUUCCAAUCCCCUUUCAGGCCCCUCUCCCUCCCCAGCCCCUUCCCAUUUCCUCUCUGAGGCAUCCACUCACAUGUGGAACUCAUUAGGAGACCCUCAGGGCUCGUAACCCAACUCUGGCCUGGGCUUGGGGAGGGGGCCCUGUCCGCAGCCCCCAUGCUGAGGCGAGGCAGCCCCCCCUUGUCUGGCCCCCGUCUGGCCCUGUGCAGCUUGGAGCUGGAGACCACAAGUUGCUGGUCAUGGCCAAGAGUGGGGGAUGCUGGUGGAGGGAAGCGUGGCCAGGAAUCUCGCUCCUGCUCUCCAGCCUGCUCUCAGCGGGUGCCCGGCUCUGUGGUAGCUUCUGAUUCCACAAGGGCAGCUGGACCCACGCGUGGAAAGCAGGUUUCAAGGCCCCUAAAGCAGGCCAGAGGAAGGAUGAGGGGGUUCUGAGCAACUAACUCAGUGACCCUUAGCUUCCCACCUGAAUAAUGGGAAGGAAGGAGGUGAUAUGUGGAAUAGCCACUGAACCACGAAAGGCCACCUUUUCCCCUGAAGACCUGGUCCCUUGGCUUGUCAAUGGAGGUUAUGCAAAAAAAAAAAAAAAAAAA